UGGGGAAUAUUGGCCAAUGAGCGAAAGCCUGAUCCAGCCAUGCCGCGUGUGUGAAGAAGGUCUUCGGAUUGUAAAGCACUUUAAGUUGGGAGGAAGGGCAUUAACCUAAUACGUUAGUGUUUUGACGUUACCGACAGAAUAAGCACCGGCUAACUCUGUGCCAGCAGCCGCGGUAAUACAGAGGGUGCAAGCGUUAAUCGGAAUUACUGGGCGUAAAGCGCGCGUAGGUGGUUUGUUAAGUUGGAUGUGAAAUCCCCGGGCUCAACCUGGGAACUGCAUUCAAAACUGACUGACUAGAGUAUGGUAGAGGGUGGUGGAAUUUCCUGUGUAGCGGUGAAAUGCGUAGAUAUAGGAAGGAACACCAGUGGCGAAGGCGACCACCUGGACUAAUACUGACACUGAGGUGCGAAAGCGUGGGGAGCAAACA
rnacentral:rRNA from 1 species